AUACUACUACUUGUAACCCUCUUUUGUGCGGCGAUGAUACAAUACGUACUAUUUGGGUGAUAAAAUUUCUUGUGGGAAUACCAAUAUUGAUUGCAGUUGUGGUGUGGCAGUACAAAAGACGGAAUUUGCACACAUCGAGUGAUGAUGGUUUUGGGAUUAAUGCUACCUCCAAUGAACAGAACUGUUAGGAUUCUUGAUUGUUGCUAAGCACAUAAUCCGACUUGCAUUAUUGUACUGUUUUUACAAUAAAAGAUUCACCGGUUUUUCAUAACCAAGUUAAACUCGUGUUCACUCUACCCCUGUUUGGAUGGUUGUUUCCCGUGGUUCAUUAAUGUAUGGUUUUCUAUGAAACCAUGUUUGCAUCCAUUGUUCUUAAAAUUAUAUAGUAUGGUGUUGUAAACCCGUUGUAUGCAUUGUUCUCCCUUCCCUUUUGUUCAAGCAAUGAAAUGUCUCUCCACAAUAACUUUUUGUCA